rnacentral:rRNA from 1 species
CCUACGGGUGGCUGCAGUGAGGAAUAUUGGUCAAUGGACGCGAGUCUGAACCAGCCAAGCCGCGUGCAGGAUGACUGCCCUAUGAGUUGUAAACUUCUUUUAUAUGGGAAUAAAAUGUUCUACGUGUGGGAUUUUGUAUGUACCAUACGAAUAAGGAUCGGCUAACUCCGUGCCAGCAGCCGCGGUAAUACGGAGGAUCCGAGCGUUAUCCGGAUUUAUUGGGUUUAAAGGGAGCGUAGGUGGGUUGUUAAGUUAGUUGUGAAAUGUUGCGGCUCAACCGUGAAAUUGCAGUUGAUACUGGCAGACUUGAGUACAGUAGAGGUAGGCGGAAUGUGUGGUGUAGCGGUGAAAUGCUUAGAGAUCACGCAGAACACCGAUUGCGAAGGCAGUUUACUAAACUAUAACUGACGCUGAGGCACGAAAGUGUGGGUAUCAAACAGGAUUAGAUACCCGUGUAGUC